AGUGUAGGCGGCUACGUAAGUCGGAUGUGAAAGCCCUGGGCUUAACCUGGGAAUUGCAUUCGAUACUGCGUAGCUAGAGUCUGAUAGAGGGAAGUGGAAUUCCGGGUGUAGCGGUGAAAUGCGUAGAUAUCCGGAGGAACACCAGUGGCGAAGGCGGCUUCCUGGAUCAAGACUGACGCUAAGGCUCGAAAGCGUGGGGAGCAAACA
rnacentral:rRNA from 1 species